rnacentral:rRNA from 1 species
AGUGAACGCUGGCGGUAGGCCUAACACAUGCAAGUCGAACGGCAGCACAGUAAGAGCUUGCUCUUACGGGUGGCGGGUGGCGGACGGGUGAGGAAUACAUCGGAAUCUACUUUUUCGUGGGGGAUAACGUAGGGAAACUUACGCUAGUACAGCAUACGACCUACGGGUGAAAGCAGGGGAUCUUUUGACCUUGCGCGAUUGAAUGAGCCGAUGUCGGAUUAGCUAGUUGGCGGGGUAAAUGCCCACCAAGGCGACGAUCGGUAGCUGGUCUGAGAGGAUGAUCAGCCACACUGGAACGGAGACACGGUCCAGACUCCUACGGGAGGCAGCAGUGGGGAAUAUUGGACAAUGGGCGCAAGCAUGAUCCAGCCAUACCGCGUGGGUGAAGAAGGCCUUCGGGUUGUAAAGCCCUUUUGUUGGGAAAGAAACGCAGCAGGUUAAUACCCCGCUGUUCUGACGGUACCCAAAGAAUAAGCACCGGCUAACUUCGUG